AAUUACUCUCGCUUGCCCUAAAACAUUCUCGUCGCGAUUUUUCUCUCAACGAAAUCAACGCCGCUGCCGCCGCCCGAGGAGCUGCCGGCGGAUGACUUCUUCUCCCCCGCUUAACUCAAGGAGACAACGUGGGUGUCCCUCAACCACCGGGACUAGGUGUGAAUAUCUACUAUGGGGGUAAUAUAUUUCGAACGCCUUCUCGUAAGUAUGUUGGAGGGUAUAUGAGAACAUUUCAAGAUUUUACCGUAGAGGCUAUUACCCUGGCAACAUUACAUUCUUGUGUUGCUAGUUGCGAACUUGAAAGGCAGUCCGAGUAUACAUUUGUUUUGAUGCGUUGAAAAGGGCGUUCAAGGUCGGAUGUAGACAUUUGAUUGGUGUGGAUGGUUGCCAUGUUAGGAGUUCAUAUGGAGGAGUCAUACUUACAGCUGUUGGGGUUGAUCCCAACUGUAUAUUCCCCAUUGCGUAUGCGGUAGUUGCUAGCGAGAUAGUAGAGACCUGGACUUGGUUUUUGACGAUCUUGAAAAGGGAUUUGGAUAUAGGAAACCAUAAUGAGGUAUGUUUUAUAUCCGACAAGAAAAAGGGACUUGUAAAUGCAUUAGAGAGUUUAUUUCCAGGUAUGGAGCAUAGAAGUUGUGUACGACACUUACAUAACAAUUUCACGACAACGGGAUUUAAGGGAUUAGCGUUGAAGAAUGGAUUGUGGAAAGCUGCAAGGGCAGCAACUGUGGAAGAAUUCAAGACAACAAUGUUGGAGCUUAAGAAGAUUGUUGAAAAAGGUUGCGAAUGGUUGGAAAAUCGGCCGGCAAAUGAAUGGAGUAGGUCACAUUUUAAGUGUCUGUCGAAGUGUGACUUGCUUGUGAAUAACCUAUGUGAUAGUUUCAACAGAUGUAUUACCGAUGCCAGGGACAAACAUAUUUUGAGCAUGUUGGAAUCGAUUCGGGAGUACUUGAUGCAGAGGCUUCAAACAAAGAGGGAUUAUGCCCGGAGGCGGUGGACUGAUAAAGUCAUAUGUCCAAGGAUUAUGAAAGUACUUUCUAGGAAUUGAGCUAAGGUAGGUGAUUGUAUCAUGUUGAAAUCUGAUGAUACACAUUAUCAAAUUUCCUAUUUUGAUGGUAGUCAGCACUGUGUGGACUUGUCUGCUCGGAGCUGCACGUGUAGGAGAUGGCAGCUGAUUGGAAUCCCUUGCCACCAUGCCAUUUCAGCAAUCAGCAACCAAGGAGAUGAUUUAAUAAAUUAUGUUGAGCAAGUAUACUCUGUUGAAACAUACAAUCGAGUUUACACCUUCUCCAUCAAAGUUGUUAGCAGUGAAAAUUUUUGGGAGCCAACCAACUUCGUACCACCUAAGCCACCACCAAUCAAAAAAAACGUUGGUAGGCCGAAGAAGCUGAGGAAACGGGAAUUUGGAGAAGACAAGAAGAAGGUUAAGGGAAAAGAUGGUACUCAGAGGCUGAAACGGAAACCAAAAAUCAAUAAAAUAUGGGACUUUUCGAGAAGUUGGCCACAAUGCACAUUAUUGCCCCCAAAAUGUCGAUAAAUGGAUUGUUGAAACUGUGGUUGUUCAGGCCCCAGUGCCACUACGAAAGGGAAACGCAAUACACCUGCAAGUUCCAUCCAACCGAGGCAUAGUCUUCGGUUGCAGUCAAAUAGUGAGGGGCCACAAGAACAAGCUGUUUCAAUGGAGUACAGUCGGACAGUUGGUCCGGAGAUUCUCACACAAAAUUCACAAUCAAUCCCCACGGCGAAUAGUCGGUUGCAAGAUCCUCAUGAUUUUCCAUGUCAUAUUCCACGUCCUUCGAAACGACUACAACAGAAGAGAAACAUCACUCAAGCAUUAAGCACAUGUCAAGACGACUGCCAACCCACUUUGCAAGAUGACUGCCAGCCCACAGAAGCAAGGCCACCGAGUACGCUAAAGGGCAAGGAACUAGCGGAGGCAGCUCCAAUAAAGCCUUCACAUGGCCCUCCAAUGUUUGAACAAGGUGACUUUGGCGGUAAAAAAUCAAAGAAGGAGAUCCAAUUACCACUUUUAGAAAUGCCAGCAACUGUACGGGCAAUAGAAUUGAGACGACUGAUUAAGGAGAACGAAAAGUUCCUUGGGGAUGACAAACCACGAAGGUGAGGAUGACCGAAGAAAAACGUAUAAUUUUAUUGCUAACUGUGCGCAAGUUGUGGUUGAUGACACAUGAAUGCGUGGUUAAACAGGGACUUAAUUUUGGGUUUCAUUUUCGGGAACUGCAUUUUGUGUUGAUGCUCAACUUUUUUUGUUCGAAAGUGGGCAAAAUAUUUAAUAUGAUAUGUUAGGCUAACUUUUUUAUGUUGGUAUUUGGUAUACGAAACAUUACUUAGGAAACU